GGCUUGGAAAAAAGUAAAAGUAAAAAAACAGACACCCCUUACAUUUUUUUAUUUUUAAUUUAUUUACUUUCAGUAUUAUUCACAGAGUUCCGUUUCCAACUCUGAGUAUUGUUAUUCCCAAACUGUCCGCUAGGUGGCAGCGCAGCGCGCAGUGGAAUAGAGGCACACCCGAGGAAGAAUAAAUCCUCUUGAGAAAAUGCUACAAGCAUAUUAAAACGUGUGCUGCCUCUCUGUUCCAACUAACAGACCACAUGCCCUCUGGGCCACGACUUAGAGGAGCAACAUAAUCAUAAUAUACAUUAAUGAUUUAUUUCCGGCAAAUAUAAAGUUAUUCUUUUAGUACUUACCGGAGAAAAGACACCAGAUGACUCCCAGAGAGUGUUAGAACAGUUUACAGCACGGCAGCAGGACAAAAACCGAAAUAGAGCGCUCAUGCUAACGCUAAAUCUGUAGCAGACCAGCAAAACACAGGAGCACAGCUCCCAGAAUCCACCGCGAUCGUCACCUGUCAAUCAAAGGCCGCGCCCCCCUCAUUAAGCGAAAAUAAAUGCUGUUUUAAAAAAAAA